rnacentral:sRNA from 1 species
GCGGUGCAGUGAAGCGAGGCCAGGGUGUGUGAGUGCGCUAGCGUGUGUGUCGGGGGAAGGCGGGGGUUGGCCUCCAAUGGAAGUUUUAUUAAUCUGCACUGUGGCAUCUGUUUGCUCCCUUGCCCCAACCGCCCCCAGGUUUGGUUCAAGAAUCGUCGGGCCAAAUGGAGAAAGCGGGAGCGCAACCAGCAGGCCGAGCUAUGCAAGAAUGGCUUCGGGCCGCAGUUCAAUGGGCUCAUGCAGCCCUACGACGACAUGUACCCAGGCUAUUCCUACAACAACUGGGCCGCCAAGGGCCUUACAUCCGCCUCCCUAUCCACCAAGAGCUUCCCCUUCUUCAACUCUAUGAACGUCAACCCCCUGUCAUCACAGAGCAUGUUCUCCCCACCCAACUCUAUCUCGUCCAUGAGCAUGUCGUCCAGCAUGGUGCCCUCAGCAGUGACGGGCGUCCCGGGCUCCAGUCUCAACAGCCUGAAUAACUUGAACAACCUGAGCAGCCCGUCGCUGAAUUCCGCGGUGCCGACGCCUGCCUGUCCUUAUGCGCCGCCGACUCCUCCGUAUGUUUAUAGGGACACGUGUAACUCGAGCCUGGCCAGCCUGAGACUGAAAGCAAAGCAGCACUCCAGCUUCGGCUACGCCAGCGUGCAGAACCCGGCCUCCAACCUGAGUGCUUGCCAGUAUGCAGUGGACCGGCCCGUGUGAGCCGCACCCACAGCGCCGGGAUCCUAGGACCUUGCUGGAUGGGGCAACUCCGCCCUUGAAAGACUGGGAAUUAUGCUAGAAGGUCGUGGGCACUAAAGAAAGGGAGAGAAAGAGAAGCUAUAUAGAGAAAAGGAAACCACUGAAUCAAAGAGAGAGCUCCUUUGAUUUCAAAGGGAUGUCCUCAGUGUCUGACAUCUUUCACUACAAGUAUUUCCAACAGUUGCAAGGACACAUACACAAACAAAUGUUUGACUGGAUAUGACAUUUUAACAUUACUAUAAGCUUGUUAUUUUUUAAGUUUAGCAUUGUUAACAUUUAAAUGACUGAAAGGAUGUAUAUAUAUCGAAAUGUCAAAUUAAUUUUAUAAAAGCAGUUGUUAGUAAUAUCACAACAGUGUUUUUAAAGGUUAGGCUUUAAAAUAAAGCAUGUUAUACGGAAGCGAUUAGGAUUUUUCGCUUGCGAGCAAGGGAGUGUAUAUACUAAAUGCCACACUGUAUGUUUCUAACAUAUUAUUAUUAUUAUAAAAAUGUGUGAAUAUCAGUUUUAGAAUAGUUUCUCUGGUGGAUGCAAUGAUGUUUCUGAAACUGCUAUGUACAACCUACCCUGUGUAUAACAUUUCGUACAAUAUUAUUGUUUUACUUUUCAGCAAAUAUGAAAAAAAUGUGUUUUAUUUCAUGGGAGUAAAAUAUACUGCA